UGGGAUUGUUUUUAGUUCCCUGGCUGUGGAGAGCUGGGCUAUAGAAAUUCUCCAGGUUUGUUAUUCACAUCCGUGUUUGGGACUUUUCAUCAUGAGUUCAGUGCUGUGUCAUAACGAUGUUCACAGUCGUACAAGAAGAUAUAGAAUUGAAGAGGAUCCAAAAUGGCAGCAUCCAGUGCACAUGGUUACUAAGGCUUGGACUGUAGUGACUCCGCAGAAAGUGAGAGGCUGUGCUGUGGAUUUGAAAAUGCCAGUGUCUAUUCUUCACAACUGUACAGAAGAUACUACAAGGAAAACCCCAACCAAAGGAAGUAAACAACACCCACAGAAACACAGAAAAUAACACCGCUGCUGCAAAACCAAAAGAGAAACACACAAACUCACUGCAACAAUAAAAAUCAAAAUAACAGGCACUACUAAUAGUUAAUCAUGAAUAUCACUCAACAUCACUGGACUCAAUUCUUCAAUAAAAGGACACAGACUGACAGAAUAGAUGCAUAAACAGGACUUUUCAAUCUGCUGCAUACAAAAAAAAACACAUCUUAAAAACAAAGGAGGACAUUACCUCAGAGUGAAGUGCUAGAAAUAGGUUUUUCAAGGAAACUGACCCAAGAAGCAAGUUGAAAAAAGCCAUCCUAAUAUCUAGUAAAAUAAUAUUUUAACUGAAUUUAUUCAAAAGAGAUGGGAAAGGACACAUAUCAUAGCAAAAGGAUACAUAUGACAGCAAAAAUCCACCAAAAUGAUGUCUUAAUUCUAAAUAUUUUACUCCAAAUACAAGGGCACCUACAUUUGUAAAAGUAACAUUACUAAAGCUUAAAUCAUACACUAAUGCUGCCACAGUAAUAGAGGGAGACUUCAAAACCUCACACUCACCAAAGGAGAGGUCAUGAAGACAGAAACUAAAUAGAGAAACAAUUAAACUAACAGAAGCACAGAUCAAACGGAUUUAACAAUCAUCUACAGAAUUUUCACCCAGACAAAAAGGAAUAUACCUUCUUUUCAGCACCUCACAGAAGCUUCUCCAAAGUUGCCCAUUGACUUGGUCAGAAAGCAAGCCUCAACAGGUACAAGAAAGUUGAAAUAAUCCCUUGUUUCUUAUCAGACCACCAUGGAUUAAAGCUAGAUUUCAAUAGCAAUGGAAACAAGAGAAAACCUAAAAAAGCUCAUGGAAACUGAACAACUCAGUGACUACUGGGUCAGGGAAGAAACAAAUAAAAGAUUUUCUAGAAUUCAUUGAAAAUGAAGGGACAACAUAUCUAAAUUCUGGAAGCCAAACUAUCUACAGAAGCCAAAGUCAAAGCUAUCUAGUGGAGACAAAGGUAUCUAUGGAAGCCAAAGUCAAUUAGUGAGCCAAAGCUAUCUAGUGGAGACAAAGGUAGUUACUGAAGCCAAAGCCAAGUAGAGAGCAAAGGUCAUUUAGUGGAGACCUAAGGCUAUUUAGUGAAAGAGUUAUCUAAGACCCUAAAUCAUGGGUGAUAGAUUGUGAGGACAUCCGUUUGUUAGAGCAUCUGUAAGAUAUCUUUAGAAACCAUCCUUAUGGUAUCUUGCAGGUACAAUAUUUAACCCAUGAAAGCACUCUUCCUAUUUCCUGCAGCAGUAGAUUAACCUUCCCCCUUCCUGCCUUCUCCCUAUAUAAGUUGGGUAAAAAUUUCUAAUAAAUGGAAGCCUUGAUCAGAUGAACAGACUUGGCUUUCAUUCCUGCAUCUCUUGUCCCUUCCCCCCCCCAUUCCUUCCAAUCUCUCCACUUUAGGAACCCUGUUGAAGCCCCGCAGGUCGAGGCACCUAAACUUCUGGGACACAAUGAAAGCAGUACUAAGGAGAAGUUUCAUAGCAUUAACUGCCUUCCUAAAAAGAAUUAAUGAAUUCUCAUAGCAACAAUUUAAAAACACAUCUAAAAGCUCUAGAAGAGACAGAAGUAAAUACUCCCAAAAGGAGUAGACAGCAGGAAAUAAUCAAACUCAUGGAUGAAAUCAGUAUCAUAGAAAAAAUGGAAACAAUACAAUGAAUCAGUGAAAUCAAGAGCUGUUUUUUUUUUGAGAUCAUCAACAAGAUAGACAUACCUCUAGACAAACUAACAAAAUGUCAGAGAGACAGUAUCUAAAUAAAAUCAGAAAUGAACAUAGGGAAUAACUCCAAAGAACCAUUACAUCUUAUUUCAAAACACUGUAUUCCACAAGUUUGGAAAAUCUAAAGGAAAUAGAAGGUUUUCGUGAUAGAUUUCACUUACCAAAGUUAAAUCAAGAUCAGAUAAGCAAGUUAAACUGAAGAGCUUAAGAUAGCCUGAAUAUAACUCCAUUUUGAAAUAAAGAUCUUGACUGGGAACUGAAUUCAGGUACCAGGAAAUAUCACAGAAUAUAUACCUGGCAGAAAACAAAGUUAACUCUCCUAGCAACAGCCUCCAGGAAAUAUAACAGAAUAAAUGCUUCAUAGAAAAUAGAGACAAACUCUCUGGCAAUAAUCAAUGGGAACUGGUUGAGAAUCGGGUGGGAAAAUUCUCCCCAGUGUUUCAGAUAUGGUUUAGAAAAAUAGCCAUUGUGAUUAUAUGCCUUAGCCAUUGUGAUUAUGUGCCUCAGAAAAGGUCACCCCGCCCUGCUAAACUUCACCCAAUUCUGUAAUGCCAAGGCUUGUGCCCUCCUGCUUGCUGCCAUGGAAACCCCAGGUUCACAGACUUUCCCUUUAAAAAUCCUGUUCACUCAGAGCUCGGGGUCCCACUUCUCUACUGCUGUGCUGGUGAGACUUGGGUCCCAAGUUCGAUCCCUCUCAUAAUAAAGCUCUCUUGCAAUUGCAUCGAGUCAUCUCCUGGAGGUCUCUGAGGGUCCCGUGAACCUGGCAUAACAAAACAAUCCUGUAACCUCUAGGAAUAUAAAAGCAGUCAUCAGAAGUCUCCCAACCAAGUAAUAAAAUCAUCAUCAUCAUCAUCAUCAUCAUCAUCAUCAUCAUCAUCAUCCCAGAACCAGAUGGCUUUAGCAUGGAAUUCUACCAGACUUUCAAAGAUGAGCUCAUAGCAGUACUUCUGCACCUAUUCUAUCUGAACCCAUUUUACAAAAUCAAACAGAAGGAACAUUGCCAAACUCAUCCUAUGACUCCCACAGUCACACUGGUACCUAAACCACACAAGGACCCAACAAAGAAAGAAAAGUUCAAACCCUUUUCCCUUAUGGACUUUGCUGAAAAAAUAUUCAAUAAGAUACUGGUAAACCCAGUUCAAGACCACAUCAAAUACAUCAUCCACCAUGAUCAAGUAGGCAUAAUCCCAUGGAUGCAGGGAUAGUUUAACAUAUUUAAAUCCAUCACUGUAAUUCACUGAAAGAAAAAAAAUAAACAUGUUCAUCUCAUUAGAUGAGAAAAAAAAUUUUUUUAUAAAAUCAAGCACCACUUCAUGAUAAAAGCCCUGUAAAGAUCAGGGAUACAAGGCCAAUACAUAAACAUAAUAAAGGUAAUAUACAACAAGCUGAUAACCAAAAUCAAAUUAAAUGGGGAGAAACUCAAAGCAAUUACACUAAAGUCAGGGACAAUACAAGGCUGCCCACCUUCUUCUUAUCUUUUCAGUGUAGUACUUUAAGAUCAAGGGGUCCAAAUUGGAAAGGAAGAAGUCAAAAUAUCCCUAUUCACAGAUGAUAUAGUAAUAUAUAUAAGUGACCCACAAAUUUUUACCAUAGAUCUUCUACUGUUGAUAAACCCCUUCAGUAUACUGGCUGUUAUAAAAUUAACUCAUAAAAUCAGUAAUCCACAUGCGUAUAGAUGGUAAAUGGGCUGAUAACAAAAUUAGGGAAACAACAUCAUUCACAAUAGCCAGAAAUAAUAUAUCUUGGUGUAACUACCCAAGCAAGAGAAAGGCCUCUAUGACAAGAACUUCAUGUCUCUGAAAAAAGAAAUUGAAGAAGAUAUCAGAAGAUAGAAAGAGUGCCAUGCUUAUGGAUCGGUAGAAUUAACAUAGUAAAAACGGCCAUCCUACUAAAAGCAAUCUACAGAUUCAAGACACUUGCUAUCAAAAUACCAACACAAUUUUUCAUAGACCUUGAAAGAACAAUUCUCAAUUUCAUAUGGAACACCAAAACAAAAACAAAAUAGCUUAAACUUUUUUUGUAUAAUAAAAGAACUUCUGGAGGUAUCACCAUCCCUGACUUCAAGUUGUAUUACAAAGAAAUAGUAAUAAAAUCUUAUGGGACAAAAUGAAAGCAGUGCUAAGAGGAAGUUUAUAGGACAAAAUGCCAGCAGAAAGAAGUUUAAGAUGUUUCAUACAAGCAAAUUAAUGACACACCUAAAAUCCCUAGGAAAAAAAACAAGCAGACACACCCAAGAGGAGUAGACAAUUGGAAAUAAUCAAACGCAGAGCUGUAAUCAAUAAAUUAGAAACAAAGAAAACAAUUCAAAAAAAAAUCAAUGAGACCCAGAGCUGGUUCUUUGAGAAAAUCAACAAGAUAGACAAACCCUUAUGCAAACUAACUAAAAGGCAGAGAGAAACUAUCCAAAUCAGCGAAAUCAGAAAUAAUAAAGGGAAAAUAAUGAAAGACACUGAGGAAAUCCAAACAGUCAUUAGGACUUACUUCAAAAGUCUAUAUGCCACAAAAUUUGAAAAUAUAAACAAAAUGGACAAUUUUCUUGAUAGAUUUCAUUUACCAAAAUUAAAUCAAGAUCAGGUAAAUAGAUUAAAUAGUCCUAUAGGCCCCAAGGAAAGAGAAGCAGUCUCAAAAGUCUCCCUUACAGAAAACCCAGGGCCAGAGGGCUUCAGUGCAGAAUUUUACAGACCUUCAAAAAGAGCUAACUCCAAUUCUCUUCAAAGUAUUCCAUAAAAUAGAAGCAGAAUGAACAUUACCAGUGGUUGUCUUAAAAUUUUUUAAUGAAUACUACUAUUUUUCUAUAAGUACUUCAUUUGUGUCUGGUCCUCAUAGUAGUCAGAAGAUGGCCUCAGAACUCCUGAACUUCGAGUAAUGGAUAAGAGUACACUCCUAUGUAUGUCAAGUUUGUUUAUGUGUUGGAUCACAUUGAUGUAUUUCCAUAUAUUGAGCCACCCCUGCAUACCUGGGAUGAAGGCAAGGCUACAUUUUAAUCAAAGCAUGAAGAAAUUAGAGAGGUGAACCUGACUAUUCAGUUUUCUCCAAAAAGGAGUUGGUGAUUACAUUAAAACUUGUGUUUCAGAAAAUAAGGGGAAGAAACACCAGAAACAUGUGAAAAUGUUGUAAAUGAAGUAUACAUUUCCAGUGUUGUCAGUAUCAUGGUUUUGGUUUUACACUUGUGUGGAUAUUUAGAUUCCAUUGACCGACAAUGAUGUGCACAUGAACUUUACUCGAGAAGAAUGGGCUUUGCCGGAUCCUUCCCAGAGGAUUCUCUACAAAGAUGUCAUGGUGGAGACCUACAUAAAGCUUUUGGCUAUAGGUACAACAGUGAAUUUUCUUCACUUUUUAAAAUAAGGGUCAAACACUUUCUCCAUUAUUGAUGCUCUUCUGUAAUUUCAAUUGUGCAUGAGGAGGAAUGAGGUGAAUGGUUCUAUCAUUGACCAUAGAUAGUGACUCAAAUUUUGCCUAAUUUCCAAUAACACAUGCAUAUAUUUUAAGCUCUACUUGGGAAGAUCAUAAUACUGAAGAGCAUUGUUAAUGUUGUAGAAGACUUGGAAGUUAAUUUUUCUGUGCAUGCUUAUAUGAAUAUGGCUCUGAAAAAAUUAAUAUGCCCUGGAAGUUUGAAGGAAAAGCAAUAGUGUAACAGAACUGCUAUAAGUGUAUUUAUUGAUGAUUACUAACUUGUUACCAAACCAUGUAUGCCAAUGUCAGGUAUUUGAUUUUUGUUUGCAAGGAACUCCUAAAGAAAGAAUGCAAGGAAUGAAUACCUUACAAGAUCACCAUUUAAAUCAUAGACCCACUAGUGCUAUUCUGUAGAACUGCAAUUUGUUUAGUCUUGUAUAACUCAGAUAUGGCAAAAGUUAUUCAUAUAAAAUAGAUUAUGAAAGUAUGUGCAAAACCUUAUACUGAGGAAAUAGUCCAUUCCUAUAGACCAAAGUUUGGGAAUAUUCAAACUUUUAGUUAUGUUGCUAAUUUUCAUGAGAAGAGGAGUUUUUUUAGAGUUAAGAAUGUUGUUGUAGAAAAACCAUAAUCCCUAUACCACAUAUCUAUGACGAACAAAAAUCAAACUGUGUGAAUGCAGUGUGAUACCAUGUCAUUUAUUAUUCUUCUUUUAAUAGGUAUAUCAUAUGUCACAAUGAAUACAAGCCAUGUUAGCAUAGGGAUAUUGAAAGAAGCAAUGUACCUGCCAAACAAUUAAAAGAUAUAUAAUAGUCCCCACUUUAAGUAGAUUUUUAAAAUGUAAUACCUGUUUAUGAUUUAUAUGGGAUUUUCAGACAUUCCAGCAGUACAAAUAAUGACACAGAGGCUUUUUUAAUAUUUUAAAGUUUAGGCAAUUUAGCUGGGCAGAUCCUUAGCCAGCUUUCUACCUUAACCCAAAUCAACCCAGCAUGUUGUCCUUCUGCAUGGCCAGCUCUACCUCUUUGUUCCUGUUCAUGUCCAUCUGUUAACCUCAGUGUACAGCUGGUGAAUUGCCUGUUUUUUUUUCCCUUUUUUCACCCAGAAACUCUCACUCAGAAGUUCUGCCAUCCAUUGUGUGCCCUGCUAUCAGUUACCAGGACUUUAUUAUUUCCAAUAGACAAGUACAGAAGGACAAAUGUUUACAAAAUAGAUGACAGGUGAUGGGUGAUAGAAAGAACAAUACUAAGAUCUGGUGAGCACUUAGCUCUCUGCUGGCUCAGCAAUCAACAUUCCCAUAUACUAACACACUUUCACACAAUAUACACCAACAUCAGUUAAUUGGUUAUUCAACUUCAUUAAGAUUACUCACAAACUCACAUUGUAGAAAAAAUUUAAUUUUAGGAAUGUGGAAGUUCUUCUAUUUCUCCCAGUUAUCUUUGCAAAUGUAGCAUGGCUCACAGUAUAGGGAAAUUUAUGAAGCCAGUCAGUGUGCUAAAGCUCUGAGGUCCUGCAGUUUUCUACAAAUAUGUGGUAAAACAUCUUAUAGAGGAAAAAUAUAGUAUUAACAUGAGCCAGGUAAUAAGUAUGUUUACCAUCACAGGUAUUUUCAAAUAUGCAAAACAACCCAUAGAGUAGAAGAACACCAUGAAUAUAACAUUAGUGAUGAAUCUCAAGAUUCAAUUCCUCUUUACUUUUAUACCAAAUUAUAAAAUUAAUUGGCAUGUAUAAAAAGAUUCAUCAAAGUAGUGACUGUGGUAAAGCUUUCAUAUGUGCCAGUUAUCUUUGCAGGUAUGAAAACAGUCAUAGGGGAGAGAAACCCUCUGAAGAUAUUCAAUAUGGUGAAGUCUGCACACCACAGUCGUCCUCACACAUAAAAAAGAAUGCAUACCGGUGAGGAGCUCUAUGAAUGUAACUUAUAUGGUAAAGCUUGUGCAUAUAAUAGUAAACUUCAAAUGUAUGAAAGUAUUCAUGUUGGACAGAAACCCCACAAAUGUAAUCAAUUUGCUAAAGCCUUUGCAAACAACAGUUGUCUCCUAAUACAUAAAAUAACCCAUAUUGGAAAGAAACCUCAUGACAACGUGGUAAAGCCUGUGCAUGUAAUGGCACUCUCCUAAUACAUAAAAGAACUCACACUGGAGAGAAACCUUAUGAACGUAACCAAUAUGAUAAAGCCUGUGCACAUAAUACUACUCUCCUAAUACAUAAAAGAAAUCACACUGAAGAGAAACAUUAUGAAUGUAACCAAUGUGAGAAAGCCUUUGCACAUAACAGUCAUCUGGUAUUACACAAAAGAACACACACUGGAGAGAAGCCUUAUGAAUGUACCCAAUGGGGUAAAACCUUUGAAUGUCAGAGCAGUCUCUGAAAACAUAAAAGAACAUACACUGAAGAGAAACCUUAUGAGUGUACCCAAUGUGAUGAGUCUAUGCAUUUUAGAGUAGUUUCUGAAAACAAAAGAAUAUUCAUUGGAGAAAAACCUUAUGAAUGUAAUCAGUGUGGUAACACCUUUGUACAACACAGUCAUUACUUAAUACAUAAAAAAUGUAUAAUGGAGAAAAUCAUUAUGAAUAUAACUAAUGUCCUAAAGGCUUUUCAUGUAGUAGUCAUCUCCUAAGGGAAGAACACAUAGUGGAAUGAAAACUUGUGACUAUAAGCAAUGUGGAGUCACAUUGCAUGCCAUAAUAAUCUACACAUACAUACUAUAUACAUAAAAUAACACACACUGAGUGAAACCUUGUGAAUGUGACCAAUAUGGUAAAACUUUUGCUCUUCAGAAUCAUCUUCAAACUCAUGAAAGAAUUCAUACUGGACAGAAAGACUAUGAGUGUAUUUAACAUGGUGAAGCAAUUCCACAUUUGUAUAAUCUUCAUCACCAUGAAAGAAUUCGUACUGGAGAAAACUCUUAUGAAUGUGUUAUAAUGUGUGGCUUUUGCAGCUGUCUAUAUUCCUCAUCAUCAUAAAAGUUUCAUAUGGAGAGAAAUUCUGUGAAUAUAAGCAAUUUGGUAAGGCCUUUGUUUUCUUUAGUCCACUGAAUCCAAUACAACUCAAAUACUCGGUCUAUGCAAAUGACAAAAAUUUAUUGUCAUCCAAGCACUACUACUUGAUGAGGGCCACAUAACAUUCUUCGGAGCUGAACUGUGACACUUACCUAUCCUCUGAGCCAGAAAGUGACAGAGGUUCUGAGCUUGAAAAUCGUAAAUGUUUGUGCCAUUUUACAACUAAUUUUUUUUCAUCAAUCAGGGAUCAGGGAUAUGGGAAUUGUUUAUCUCAUUGAUGUUUUCACCUGAUGCAAGAUGUAGGUUUUACAGUCCAACCAAUAAUGUCCAUUUGGUUUUUUUUGUUUUGUUUUGUUUUGUUUUGUUUUGUUUUGUUUUUGUGGUUAGGAAACAGUAUUAUGUUUUAGGCAAGAGAAACUGUGGUUUGGGGCAGUCAUUAUACUAGGGGAACAGCAGCCGUGGCAUAGAACCAUCACAUUUUGAGGAACAAAAGAUGAAUACUGAAACCUGGUCAGCUGUUGGGAAGUCUGCAGUUUUCCUAGGGACUAUGAACUUAAACUCAGGUUCACUCUAUGAUAAAACAGAGGCUGAUAUCUAAAAGGCACUGCUUAGGAUGAAUUUCUUUGACAUGUUCACACAUGCAAAUUACUUUUGCAUGUUUGGCAUAUCACAGUAAUCUUCGAAUACCUAAAAGAAUAGAUAAGAGAGAGAAAUCUUACACAUGUAAUCAAUGUGAUAAAGCCUUUUCUUAACACAGUUAUAAAAAAACACACACUGCAGUGAAGCCCUAUGAAUAAGCAAUGUGGUAAAGCCUCAUGGAGUUGUCUUUGAAAUCAUGAUAAAAAGUCAUGCUGCAGAGAAACCCCAUGAACGUUGUCAGUAUGGUAAACUUUUGUGCAUCAUUGUACCAUUAUAAAAGAGUAAAAGCUUUAGCAACCUAUUAAAGUCUUUGCAUAUCACAGUAAUCUUUGAGAACAUGAAAGAACUCAUUCUGAAGUAAAUCUAUUAAGAUAAAAGAUUUGUUGAGAUCUUUGACCAACCAACUUGCAUUCAGUUACAUGAGAGUAUGGGGGGUAUUCUAACAAGUUUCAACAAUGUAUUCAUGCAUUAUGACAUCCAUAUUUAUUUUGUUUCCAAUUGAAAGCUCAUGUGGAAAAAAGGCCUAUGAAUUUAAACAAUAAGGUAACUGUUUUAGAUUUCAAAAUCCUCUUCAAUUACAUGAAAUAAAUCAGCCAGUUGUAAUAUUUAUGGGUGUGUAUUAGUGCCUUUUCUGUGACAAAACACAAUGUCUAAGGCAACUUUCAAAUGUGUUUACUUUGCCUUAUAUGGUUCCAGAGGGAUAUGGAUUCACUAUGAAAUGGCCAUCACUACUGUCACAUAUGACAGCUAAAGUAAGAGGCUUAGAACUCACAUCCUUCACCUGCCAACUGAAGCAGAGAGUGGAAAGUACAAAUGAUAUGCAGUUGAAAACUAUCAAGCCCACCCCAAGUAAUAUAGUUCCUCCAGCAGGGCUGCUUUUCCUAAACAUUCCCAAAUGAUACCACCAACAAAGAAGGAUUUGUUUCUCUGACUUCAAGCCUACAUGUUUGAUUUCUGUUAUAUGAAGGAAUUCAUGAUGAAGAAAUACUGUGUAGAGAAGCCUGUAAUGCCUCAACACCUGAGUUAUAAGAAUGAGUGCUUACACAAGAAAACCAUUCAUGAGUAAACAUAUAUUUAAGAAAUCAAUCUGAUGCUUUCUCGGACAAUUAGGAAUAGUGCUAUCUCAAGAUCCAGCUAAACCACUUCUAGGCAUCUAUCUAAAAGAUGCUCAAGUAGACAACAAGGACAUUUGCUGAACCAUGUUCAUAGCAGCCUUAUUUGUAAUAGCCAGAAGCUGGAAAACAACCCAGAUGUCCCUCAACUGAGGAAUGGAUACAGAAAGUGUGUUACAUUUACACAAUGGAAUACUACUCAGUAAUUAAAAACAAGGAAAUCAUGAAAUUUUCAGGCAAAGGGUGGAAUCUAGAAAAAAAUCAUCCUGAAUGAGGUAUCCCAGAAGCAGAAAGACAUAGAUUAUGUAUACUCACUUAUAAGUGGAUAUUAGUCAUGUAAUAUAGGAUAAUCAUACUAACAUCUGUACACCUAAGGAAGCUAAUCAAGAAGGAGGACCCUGGGUAAGAUGUUCAAUUUUCAUUCAGAAAGGCAAAUGGGAUGGACAUCAGAAGAUAGAGAAAACAGGGAACAACUUAGGAGCCUAUCACAGAGGGCCUCUGAAAGAUUCCACCCACCAGGGUAUCAAGACAUAUGCUGAGACUCAUUGCCAAACUUUGGGCAUAGUGCAGGGAAUAUUAUGAAAGAAAGAUCUGGAGGAGACAGGAGCUCCACAAGGAGAGCAACAGAACCAAAAAAAUCUGGAACAGGUGUCUUUUGUAAGACUAAUACUCCAACCAAGGACCAUGCAUGGAGAUAAUCUAGAACCCCUGCACAGAUGUAGCUCAUGGCAGCUCAGUGUCCAAGAGGGUUCCCCAGUAAUAGGGACAGUGACUGUCUUUGACAUGAACUCAUGGGCUGGCUCUUUGAUCACAUCCACCUGAGAAUGGGAGCAUCCUUACCAGAGGAAGAUGAUGAAGCCAGUCCUGAUGAGACCUGAUAGACUAGGUUCAGAUGGAAGGGGAGGAGGACCUUCCCUCUCAUUGGACUGGGGAGGGGCAUAGGAGAAGAAGAGAGAGGGAGGGUGGAGUUGGGAGGGUAUAGGAGAGGGGGCGAAACCUGGGAUACAAAGUGAAUAAACUGUAUUUAAUAAAAAUAAAAUAAAAAUUUAAAAAUUUGUUUUAAUUUCCACUAUGUGAUGCCAUUUUGUCUUUGUGUGUUUAUGUUCCUGUCCAUUCUGGUUUCCAUGAAGACAGACCCCUUAGUAUUUUUUGUACCAGGAACUACAGGAAGUUAUAAAAAAAACCUGACCUAGAUCCUGGAAAUGAAAUUUUCUAACUGCACAUCCUUGUCUCUAGUACUGUAAAUAUCUUAAAUCCUUUGUAUAUCAUCUUGAUGUCAAAAGGUGGAAAACAAUUCAUAUAAGAGAGCAACCCUCUUUAUAUAAAAUUUUGAUGACUUUGGACAUAAUAAAUGUAUUCAUUUUCAAGAAAAAACUUUUUAAAAUCUGUUUUUAUCAUAGCCUUGUAGGAAGUAAAUUAUUUACCAUGUUCACUUAAAUGUAAUGGAGGAGAUCACCAACUGUUUUUGUGGUCUAUAUUUUGAAACAUUGGAGUAGGUAUUGAAGUUUGCUGUAUGUGUAGCAAAUUCAUUCACAGAUUUUAAUUAAGUCAUUCUGAUAUUCUUUCUGUGGCUGCUGUUCAUCUUCUAAUGCAUUUUCACUUGGUGAUAGGUAUUUUUCUGCUUCAGUGUGUAGAAUGGGAUCCCCAUCGUCUAUGUGGUUCAUUGCUUAUUUAUAUCAGGCAAUGUGUGAGCAUAGUUUUCAAGGAAGGAUCUCUGAGAAAGCAUGGUGCUUUUGUUUUUCAUGUUUUCACAAAUUCCUUUCAGGUGUUUGUUUUCAAGCCUUUCUGGAUGUCAGUAAUUACUCAAGGCUACAUUUGAACUCCAGAUUCUCAUGUGUCAGCCUUCUGAGUACAAAUCCAAAUGUGGAAGAUGUUUCCCCCAAUGUGUUCUUAUUUGUCAACAUACUUUUUACCAAUGUUAAUGUUAAAAUGCUUAAUAGCAAGUAUAUAUGUAUGUUCAUAUUGUUUGAAGUUCCAUGCUUCUUCAUGUUCCCAUUAGUUAUUAUAUGGCACCUCAUCUUGAAGUACUGCCUUUUAAGAGGAUUUAUCUAGAGGUGCUAGAUAAUUAUAACAGCAACAAGAUUUAUUUCAAAAAAAGCAUGUUGUGUGUCUGUAUAGUGUGACUAUGGGUUCUUAGGACAUGACAGAUAUGUGAAGAGUUCUGUGACACUUUGUGGGGUUUAUUUUGGUCAUUAUUAAACGAUCUUCAAUGUUAUGUUAUGUUAUGCCAUUUGUGCAUUCCACAAACAUUUCCCACUGAGCUCAUUGAUACUCAAAUAAACUUAGUUGAAACAUUA